AUGUGCCCAUGACCCGAGUUGUAAUGUGAGAGUUGCCAUUUAUGGGGCCCAAUUUGGCCAGUCCAAAGUCUGAAAGUUUGGCGUUGUAGUCCCCAUCCAACAAGAUGUUAGAGGUCUUAAAGUCCCUGUAGAUGACACUCUUUUCUGAGGUGUGCAAAAAGGCAAGGCCUUGAGCUGCCCCAAUUGAUACUCUAAGUCUAACAUCCCAUGGAAGUGGCUCUGCACCCUUUCUGAAGAGGUGAUUUUCCAAGCUUCCCUUCUGCAUG
rnacentral:misc_RNA from 1 species